GGAAAAAUAAUGGAUUAUCUCCUCGAAACAUCAUGCAUCAACAGUAUUGAGAAUGAGCCAUGUAGUUCAGCUCUAGAAUAUUUAAAGGAACAUUACCUGCUAGUCAAGGUCAAAUCCCUUGGUACAAUUAUGCUCACACUGGAAAUCCAAAGAAAGACCACUGGCAUCUAUAGUAAUGUUGCUGGAGAAAGGAAAUCCUCUUCUCUUGGUUGUAAGUGGUCAAUAAACAAUUGCCAAC